rnacentral:rRNA from 1 species
AUGAGUUGUUUCCACCUCACAAAGAAAACGUGCCGGAAUCUGAAUUCUAUCUCUUCGAAAUUCUGGUGGGGGGCAAAAGACGGUGAGCGAAAGGUACAUUGGAUUUCUUGGCAGAAGAUGUGUACUUCCAAGCGGGAUGGCGGGAUGGGUUUCCGUGAUCCGGUAGCAUUCAACCAGGCUCUACUUGCAAAACAAGCCUGGUGUGUUCUGCAAUGUCCGGAGUCUUUGGUUGUGAGGGUGCUGAAGGCACGCUACUUCAAAGAUGAAUCCAUUAUGAGCGCGACGUGCCCUGCGGCGGCUUCAUAUACUUACAGGAGCAUUUUACACGGCAGAGAUCUCCUUCGAGAAGGACUAGUUUGGAGAAUUGGAGACGGCUCCAAUGUUAAUAUACAUCACAACAACUGGAUUCCAAGGAGCGUUUCUAUGAAGCCACUUGGCCAGAUAUACAUGCCGGGCGUGACAAAGGUUGCUGAUCUCCUAGCAGCGGACGGUAAAACAUGGAACCGUGAUCGGGUCUGGGAGAUGUUCACCUCGGAUGAUGCAAGAGACAUACUACAGAUAGUGGUGGGCGGAGUGGGAGUUGAUGAUUAUCAAGCGUGGAACCACACGAAAAAUGGAGUCUUUACUGUACGCUCCGCCUAUCAUCUGAAAAUGGCUAUGAUUAGAGCGACCUUCGGACGGCCGGAGUCGUCUAGCUCGGUGAAUAAACACAAGGGAUAUAUGGCACUUUGGGCCACGAAUGCACCGGGGAAGGCCAAAAUUCAUCGUUGGAGAGUGGUUUCAAACGGAUUGGCGGUUGGAUCAGAGCUCCAUCGGAGAAAGAUUAAGCUUGGGGUCUUUUGCGCUGCUGUGGUUGUGAAGAAACUAUAG